rnacentral:rRNA from 1 species
AACACCUCAAGUCAAGUAAGAAUACCCGCUGAACUUAA